UACGGGGGGUGCGAGCGUUGUCCGGAAUCACUGGGCGUAAAGGGCGCGUAGGUGGUUUGAUAAGGGUGUGGUGAAAGUCCGGGGCUCAACCCCGGAUCUGCCGUGCCGACUGUCAAACUCGAGGGCUGUAGAGGCAGACGGAAUUCCGGGUGUAGCGGUGGAAUGCGUAGAGAUCCGGAAGAACACCGGUGGCGAAGGCGGCCCGCUGGGCAGAGACUGACGCUGAGGCGCGACAGCGUGGGGAGCAAACAGG
rnacentral:rRNA from 1 species